UAACAAGUAAAGAACAGGCUUAAUUCUGCUUCUCCUACUCCCAUCUUUUGAAUUACCUGAAGAUGCACCAAAUAAAACAUUAACAAAUUAAUCUACAUUCAGUUUCUUAAGUCACUUAGAGAUUAUUUUACCUUUAUAGCCCUUGAGAAUUUGACAAAUUAAAGCUUUUUUAAAACUCAACAAGCUUCAAAAUUUCAAUUCAUCAUUCAAUUGAUUCCAUAAUUUGACACCAAUAACAGAAACACAGCGAUAUUUAACAUUUGUUCUUACUGUACAUGUUUCAAACACAAACCACCCUCUCAGAUUAUA